rnacentral:rRNA from 1 species
UACAGAGGUCCCAAGCGUUGUUCGGAUUCACUGGGCGUAAAGGGUGCGUAGGUGGUGAGGUAAGUCGGAUGUGAAAGCUCGGAGCUCAACUCCGAAAUGGCAUUGGAAACUACCUUGCUCGAGGGUUGGAGGGGGGACUGGAAUGCUUGGUGUAGCGGUGAAAUGCGUAGAUAUCAAGCGGAACACCAGUGGCGAAGGCGAGUCCCUGGACAACUCCUGACACUGAGGCACGAAAGCUAGGGGAGCAAACAGG